rnacentral:rRNA from 1 species
GAUGAACGCUAGCGGCAGGCCUAACACAUGCAAGUCGAGGGGGAAGUUACUUUCGGGUGACUGAGACCGGCGUACGGGUGCGUAACGCGUAUACAAUCUGCCUUUCACUGGGGGAUAGCCCGAAGAAAUUUGGAUUAAUACCCCAUAGUAUAUAGGGACGGCAUCGUUUUUAUAUUAAAGCUUAGGUGGUGCACGAUGAGUAUGCGUUCUAUUAGCUAGUUGGAGAGGUAACGGCUCCCCAAGGCGAUGAUAGAUAGGGGUUCUGAGAGGGAUGUCCCCCACACUGGUACUGAGAUACGGACCAGACUCCUACGGGAGGCAGCAGUGAGGAAGAUUGGACAAUGGUCGGAAGACUGAUCCAGCCAUGCCGCGUGCAGGAUGAAGGUCUUAUGGAUUGUAAACUGCUUUUGUAAGGGAAGAAUAAGGGCUACGCGUAGUUUGAUGACGGUACCUUACGAAUAAGCAUCGGCUAACUCCGUG